UACGGAGGGGGCUAGCGUUGUUCGGAAUUACUGGGCGUAAAGCGCACGUAGGCGGCUUGUAAGUUAGAGGUGAAAGCCCGGGGCUCAACUCCGGAAUUGCCUUUAAGACUGCAUCGCUAGAAUUGUGGAGAGGUAAGUGGAAUUCCGAGUGUAGAGGUGAAAUUCGUAGAUACUCGGAAGAACACCAGUGGCGAAGGCGACUUACUGGACACAUAUUGACGCUGAGGUGCGAAAGCGGUGGGGAGCAAACAGGG
rnacentral:rRNA from 1 species